rnacentral:rRNA from 1 species
AGUCGAACGAAGAUACUUAAAAAGAGAGCUUCGGCAGGAUUUUUAUUCUAUCUUAGUGGCGGACGGGUGAGUAACGUGUGGGCAACCUGCCCUAUACUGGGGAAUAAUCACUGGAAACGGUGACUAAUACCGCAUGUCAUUACGGAAGGGCAUCCUUCUGUAAGAAAAGGAGUAAUUCGGUAUAGGAUGGGCCCGCAUCUGAUUAGCUAGUUGGUGAGAUAACAGCCCACCAAGGCGACGAUCAGUAGCCGACCUGAGAGGGUGAUCGGCCACAUUGGGACUGAGACACGGCCCAAACUCCUACGGGAGGCAGCAGUGGGGAAUAUUGCACAAUGGGGGAAACCCUGAUGCAGCAACGCCGCGUGAAGGAAGAAGGUUUUCGGAUCGUAAACUUCUAUCAACAGGGACGAAGAAAGUGACGGUACCUGAAUAAGAAGCCCCGGCUAACUACGUGCCAGCAGCCGCGGUAAUACGUAGGGGGCAAGCGUUAUCCGGAAUUACUGGGUGUAAAGGGAGCGUAGGCGGCACGCCAAGCCAGAUGUGAAAGCCCGAGGCUUAACCUCGCGGAUUGCAUUUGGAACUGGCGAGCUAGAGUACAGGAGAGGAAAGCGGAAUUCCUAGUGUAGCGGUGAAAUGCGUAGAUAUUAGGAGGAACACCAGUGGCGAAGGCGGCUUACUGGACUGUAACUGACACUGAGGCUCGAAAGCGUGGGGAGCAAACAGGAUUAGAUACCCUGGUAGUCCACGCCGUAAAC